UGAUUACUUCUCGUAAGCUUUGUCUUCCGGCAAGUAGAACUGCUUCUAUUUAUUUUUACAAUGUAGACAAGACCUUUGAUAUACAGGCAUGCUUUGUCUAUGGAGCUGGAGAAGUAUGCAAAAUAUUUUCUUGAGCUCUGAACACUCCUCACUGAAUUGGACUGUAUAGAUUACAUUACUCUUCUUAUGUUUUGGUGUAUGAUCUUUGGGGUGGACAAUGCUCCAUCUCAGUGUAUUGGUGGGUUGAAAGAACACAGAUGUUAAAGAUGUGAAUGAUCGAGAUGACCCAGAUUUUAUGUUGACAGACCAAUUUGGAUUAACAUUCUUAGUAUAAUCAACUUUCCGAAAUGGCUCAUUGGAAGCGCAUACA